UACAGAGGUCUCAAGCGUUGUUCGGAUUCAUUGGGCGUAAAGGGUGCGUAGGUGGCAUGGUAAGUCGGAUGUGAAAUCCCGGGGCUCAACCCCGGAACUGCAUUCGAUACUGCUGCGCUAGAGUACUGGAGAGGAGAUUGGAAUUUACGGUGUAGCAGUGAAAUGCGUAGAUAUCGUAAGGAAGACCAGUGGCGAAGGCGGAUCUCUGGACAGUUACUGACACUGAGGCACGAAGGCCAGGGGAGCAAA
rnacentral:rRNA from 1 species